rnacentral:lncRNA from 1 species
CGUUAUCUCUGCUCUUCUUUGUCUUGUUUAUGAGUUGUUUUUAAUCUUUUCAUUUAAAUGUCAGCAGAUGUGCUUCUGUGUUCGUCCAAUAGGAUUUUAGGAAACCAAACGAAUGAAAAGACACACUUGGAAAAUUGUGUUUUGAUUAAAUCACACUGGGCCUUGAAUUACACAUGGAUGAGGUGGCGAAAGACAAUGUGACUGGGGAUUAAAACUGGGGAAAAGGACAAACAGCUUUUUUCCACCUGCUGAAUGCACACAUUGUUUCGUAAUGACAACACAACAUAACAAAGGAAAUUCAAGAUGUAUCAGCUCACUUCCGGUUUCUAUGUUAAUAUUUAACCUUUCUAUUUUCCCUCCCCGUCCAACAUUCCCCCCGACUCUCCAUGUGAUGUGUGAAUCCUCGGCCGCCCGUGUGAUGCUGGAAAUGUUACGCAGACAGAGAUGCGGCGUUUGAGUUUUGACAGUCGGGAUGGUUAAGAGGAUCUGGAACGCUGUGACGCGCAGUUGAGAAGAAAAACAAAAAGCCGCUCGGACAAGCACAACAUUUCUCAAGACAUCCACUGUGGUCUUACAUCCAAAAGUAGGAGAGAAAAAAAGAAAUAGUGCAUCGAAUCCAGUCGAUAGAGAUUUCAUUAAAAGAAACCGAACUGGCGGUGUCCAGAGUGCACUGUUAUUACUGUCAGCUGCCGUUUCCACACUGGGACGCGUCUGUGGAUGUCACCACUAUGGAAAAGCCAAGUCCAUUUAAAAUGACGAGGCAACAAUUGUGUCACACUGCACUUUUUCUUCCCCCAAAACAAACAGAUACUGUUGCUGGUUCAUGCAAACAGGCAGGCGCUUCUUCAGCCGCCUCCCGGACCGGUUUGACACCAACAAAGCUCCACGCGCCUCGGCAGUCACAGACACAAGCACACCACCCUCCCACAUAUCUCCAUUCCGCCACCCGGGCCGACCGGCCUGCAGCUUAUGUGUCUGUCCUGUCACAUGCCUGUCACGGCCAGACAGGCUUGGCUUCUUGCAGGGGAUCUGAGCUGCCUUACCCUUUGAACAAUGAUCUCACACCCUAG